AUAAAAACCAGGCUGGGUGUGCCAGCACUGGAGUUCCUGUUUUAACCCUCAAAGUGAAGUGUCGUCUCAUUAUUGGGGGAAGGAUUCAUUGUAUGCUGUUCCAGUUUGACUGCUAGGAGAGUAAACCUAUUCGUAUGGUUCCUAUUCAACUGUCUACAGCAUUCAUAUGCUUGAGAGAAGGUAUACGCUUCUCCGGUUCGGUGAUUGUGGUGUCUGCUGCAGUGCUUGGAG